GACAGGCUUCGACAGGAGUCCUGGACGAUCGACCGGAUGCCAUGCCGGGCUUCUCUAUGCAGCUCGUUAAAAAGCGUAGGGAAAAACAAUUGCCAAUAACAAUGAAUUGGCUCUCGCUGCCUAAUUAGCACCGAGCGUCUCACCGCAAGUUGCUCAUGCGCGCGGAUUGAGAUGUCACUUAGUUGAGCUGGCCCGCUCCUUCGGUCCGUGGGAGUGGGCGAGAACAAAGUCGGACUAGCUCCUGCUGAGGUCUGGUCACUUCACUGACUCGGCAAGCGAGCGAAUUUUUGUCCGGCUUGCCGGACAUGAAAGAGAAGUGACUAAGCAUGUAGAGUCCUUCGACGUUGGCUCUUGGAUCCGAGUUCAAUUCUCGGCGCCUCCACCA
rnacentral:tmRNA from 1 species